AGAGUUUGAUCCUGGCUCAGGAUGAACGCUAGCGAUAGGCUUAACACAUGCAAGUCGAGGGGCAGCAUUAUUUUAGCUUGCUAAGAUAGAUGGCGACCGGCGCACGGGUGCGUAACGCGUAUGCAACCUGCCUGUAAUUAGGGAAUAACCCGGUGAAAGUCGGACUAAUACCCUAUAUUCUUCUUUCUCCGCAUGGGGAAGGACGGAAAGAUUUAUUGAUUACAGAUGGGCAUGCGUCCCAUUAGCUGGUUGGUAAGGUAACGGCUUACCAAGGCAACGAUGGGUAGGGGGACUGAGAGGUUGACCCCCCACACUGGUACUGAGACACGGACCAGACUCCUACGGGAGGCAGCAGUGAGGAAUAUUGGUCAAUGGGCGAGAGCCUGAACCAGCCAAGUCGCGUGAAGGACGACGGUUCUAUGGAUUGUAAACUUCUUUUGUAGAGGAAUAAUGGCAGCUACGUGUAGCUGAGAUGCAUGUACUCUACGAAUAAGUAUCGGCUAACUCCGUGCCAGCAGCCGCGGUAAUACGGAGGAUACGAGCGUUAUCCGGAAUUAUUGGGUUUAAAGGGUGCGUAGGUGGCGUAUUAAGUCAGUGGUGAAAAGCUGCAGCUCAACUGUAGUCUUGCCGUUGAAACUGAUAUGCUAGAGAGGAGACGAGGUAUGCGGAAUGUGUGGUGUAGCGGUGAAAUGCAUAGAUAUCACACAGAACGCCGAUUGCGAAGGCAGCGUACCAGGCUCCGUCUGACACUGAAGCACGAAAGCGUGGGGAUCAAACAGGAUUAGAUACCCUGGUAGUCCACGCAGUAAACGAUGAAUACUAGAUUUUUGCGAUAUACUGUAAGAGUCUAAGCGAAAGCGAUAAGUAUUCCACCUGGGGAGUACGCCGGCAACGGUGAAACUCAAAGGAAUUGACGGGGGCCC
rnacentral:rRNA from 1 species